rnacentral:lncRNA from 1 species
UAUACUCUUUCUAUUGCCACCGCCACCUGCAACCUCACCAUCGGGUGACCUCCGUUGUAAUUCAUCUAAAAUGGAAAUAUAACACUCAUAUAUACUUUUUUUUACUACAUCCUGAUUGUUCUAUAAUGUUUCUACACAUGACCCUUUCAAAUUCCUUCAUUUUUUCACAUUCCUUUAUGGACAUUACAAGAAAUCUAUCUGCCAAAUAUCCGGGGCCGGAUUCAAUGGUCUGCAGCCCACUGUCACCCAGGCCCAGAUGCAACAAAUUAUAUAUAUAUAUAUUUUUUGUUUGAAUUGUAUUCAAUUUAACCACAUUAGCUCACCAACAAGUAAAUUUAGUGGGUAGCCCACCUUAAAAAAAUCUUUAAUCUGUAGCCCACUAAUUCUAUAUAAUUUUAGGCCCAAUAAUAAUACCCAUUAGUUAGUCCAUUACUCAUUUUCUUAUUCUGAUUUACGUGUAUAAUCCCCUUUCUUUUCCAUUUGGCCAUUCCCGUUUUCCAUUGCAAAACCAAUUCAAACAAUUCCCAAAAAUCAAAGAUCAAAAUCCCUAAAUCUUUUCACUUUGCCCCUGCCCGUAGCAGCGCCGAAUGGAACCGUUGAUUGUAGACUCACUGCGAGCCUGCGCCCUAUUGACUGUAGUGACUGACGGUGAGUCCGUGACCCUCUUUUGAAAUCCGAAUGUUAAACUGAAUUUGUGUAUUUUGAAUAAUUAGUUUUACUAAAGCCCUUUUUUAUAUCGGAUUCAAUGUAGAGUAAUUUUUCGAGAACAAUUAUGUGUUUUAUGUACAGCUAUUUAAAGAUUUCUUCAGUUGUUCGUGCUAGAUUUUACUAGUAAUAGGGUGAUUGGUGAGUAAUCGCAUCCAGAUUUCUCCAUAAAAAUCCUGGUACAAUGGAUUGCCUUCUCUUUGGUGAACUAUUUUUUCUUGGUAAAAUGCAGACUUUUUCGUAUCAAAUUUGAAAUAUUAUCGAUCACUAGAGGUGGCUUGAUGCUUAAAAUGGUUAUUUGAAACAUAUUGUCUUCUUUUAAUUAGUUUUGGGAUAAAGGUUGGUUUUUGACUUUAUUUCAUAUUAAUUUACUGGAUGCUAAGAUGUUUUUGAAAGUUUAAAAGAGAUUAAUAUUGAUGUUAAUUUUGCUCCUGGUAAGUUAUUGUAAAUGAUCCGUUUCAUUUUGGGUCUACUUCUAGAUUAUCAGAGAAGGGCGAAGAGUGGAUUUGAUACAGGAUAUGAGGUUUGAAACCGCGACGACUAGAAUUAAGGCGACCCCUGAUGGCAAGUAUCUAAUAGCAUGGUAUCUAAUUUUUAAGAUUUUUAGCCCACCGUUAUAGUAAUUCUUGGCUCCGCCCUUGCAAACAUCAGUAAUGCUAGGAGUUGAGUAAAAUUCUUCAAUCAAUAUUCAGGGGAAAAAAAAUACUUGCUCUGAAUGCAAAAAAUGUGUCCGAAAAAACAUGCCAUAUAUUUAUGUUCUUGAUCGUAGCGGAAUAUUUGAAAUGUAGUCAUCCUAAUUUCCUAUAGAUUUUUGUAAUCAAACUUGCACUUUGAACAUUUACUGAAUCCUUCAAUUUUUUCUUUGAAUGUUGGAAUUUUUGGAGCUAUGCAUUGCAGUUCAAAAAAUACCAUCUUUUCAGCAUCUUCCCGUGCCUUAGAAAGUACUCUAUCAGCAGAAUAUCAUGCGGUUUAUCACUGAAUAUGGAAAAUUCAAUCCUCCUAAGGUGUUUUACCAAACAGGAUGACACAGUGUCCGGUGAACGAUAUAGAGCUACAUUCCUUGCUAGAGUAGAUGCCCGAGUGUCUAAGUAAGCGUACUGUUGAAGAAAAAAUUAGUGUUAAAAAAUUUAUCAUUUGCUUGCUAAUUUAGAAAACAAUUAUAGCUCACCAAAUGAAUGAUUGACUCUUUAAGUUGGGAAGCACUUCCAAGGAUGCCCCGAACUAUUUUGGAAUCAGCAACCAUCAACUCUUAAGUCGUCACAUAUUUUGACACGGAAUUCAUUGGACUUGGGUACGUAGCUUUCGUGAAAAUAAAAGAGAGAAAAAUAUAUUAACAUAACUAAUUCUAUUAUUAGAAUAUGAGCUCUCAGCGUUAGAUUUUUCCAGUAUAGCAUCUUCUGACAAAGAGACUUCACACCGCUGAAGCUAUCGAUAAAAUUGUACACUGCUUCUCGAUCUUGCACAUUCUCUACAAUAAGAAUUUGCACUCUGACAAGAAACUUAAGUUUUUUCAUCAAGCUGAUCUCAAGCGACUUAGGUAAUUAAAAAUUUCCAGUUUCGACGUAUCAAUAGAAAGUUUAGUGUCUGACAUAUCAUCAUAACCAGAUUUGAAAAAAAAACUUUUUAAGAUUUUGCAUGAUAAUAUAAAAAACCUUUUGAGUCCUAGUGAAUCAGAUAAGGACAACUCUUCUAGAGAUUUACAAUCUGUGAAGAACCGUCACGUUGAAUCACUAUCAACAGCACUUAAGGUGCUGAAACUUAGAGGAUAUAUUGUUUUUGAUGUCCCCGAAGUUGUAUUCUUACUUAAUCUGAAGGUGUUCCACUCUGUAGAUUUAAUCCUACCUGAUAGUGAUUCAAUUAGACGGUUCUUCACAUGUUGUAAAUCUUUGGAAGAGUUGUUCUUAUCUGGUUCACUGGGAUACUUAAAAGUUUUUGAUAUUACCAUGCAGAACAUUAAAAAGUUUUUUGUUUUUUUUUUCCAAGUCUGGUUAUGAUGAUAUGUCACACACUAAACUUUCUAUUGAUGCGUUGAAACUGGAAAUUUUUAAUUACCUAGGUAAGUCGCUUGAGUUCAGCUUGAUGAAGAAACGUAAAUUUCUUGCUAGAGUGCAAUAGAGAAUGUGCAAGAUCGGGAGGCAGUGUGCAAUUUUAUCGACAGCUUCAGCGGUGUGAAGUCUCUUUGUAAGAAGAUGCUAUACUUUGAAAUUUAACGCUGAGAACUCAUAUUCUAGUAAUAGAAUUAGUUAUGUUAGUUUACUUUUCUCACUCACUUUUAUUUUCACGAAGGCUACAUACCCAAGUCCAUUGAAUUCCGUGUUAGAAUAUAUGAUGACUUUGGAGUUGGUGGUUGCUGAUUCCAGGAUAGUUCGGGGCAUCCUUGGUAGUGCUUCCCAACUUAAAGAGCCGAUCAUUCAUUCGGUGAGCAAUAAUUGUUUUCUAGAUUAGCAAGCAAAUGAUAAAUUUUUUAACACUAAUUUUUUCUUCAACAGUAUGCUUACUUAGGCACUCGGGCAUCUACUCUAGCAGGGAAUGUAGCUCUAUAUCUUUCACCAGACACCGUGCCAUCAUGUUUGGUAGAACACCUUAGGAGGAUUGGAUUUUCCAUAUUCGGUGAUAAACUGCAUGAUAUUCUGCUGAUAGAGUACUUUCUAAGGCACGGAAAGAUGCUGAAAAAAUGGUAUUUUCUGGACUGCAAGGCAUCGCUCCAAAUAUUUCAGCAUUCAAAGAAAAAAUUGAAGGAUUCAGUAAAUGUUCAAAGUGCAAGUUUGAUUACAAAAAUCUAUAGGAAAUUAGGAUGACUACAUUUCAAAUAUUACGCUACGAUCAAGAACAUAAAUAUGUAGCAUGUUUUUUCGGCCACAUUUGUUGUAUUCAGAGCAAGUAUUUUUUUCCCCUGAAGAAUUUUACUCGACUCCUAGCAUUAUUGAUGUUUGGCAUAUAGAUUUCUUGUAAUGUCCAUAAAGGAAAGUGAAAAAAUGAAGGAAUUUGAAAGGGUCAUGUGUAGAGACAUUAUAGAAAAAUUAGGAUGCAAUAGAAAAGAAGUAUAUACGAGUGUAAUAUUUCCAUUUUAGAUGAAUUAAAUGGAGGUCACCCGAUGAUGGGGUUGCAGGUGGCAGUGGCAAUAGAAAGAGUAUAUGGAAGAACAAAAAGGAUUAUACUGACCAGCUAGUUUAAC